AUGAUAUUCCUCCCGUCCCAUAGCCAACGGGAGUGUCAGCGCACCCAGCGGCGGCACAUCUUGCGGCAGCAAUUGACGUAUCGGACCAGGCGGCUGUGUAGCUGGGUGUCCAUGUUGAACGGAGACACCGAUGGUUGCCCUUCAAGCACCAACAAAUUGGAAAUUCCAAGCCCUGCUGAGAUUACGAGCAGAGUGGAAAGGGAAUCAACACCAUCACGCCAAAACAUUGAAGGAGCAAUCCAAGAGCUAAAAACUACAGUGAUCUCACUAUCCACCAAGUAUUGUUAUUUUCUAUACCUACGUCCUAAUCAGGCCCUAGCAGAGCUUGAACCUUCUUCAGCAAAUAAGGGUCACCGAGUUCUUAUAGUCAGUCACUGGACCCCAAUGGUUGAUAUCCUUCAAUGGACACUGGAAGUAAUAUGA
rnacentral:rRNA from 1 species